CACGUAGGGUGCGAGCGUUGUCCGGAAUUAUUGGGCGUAAAGAGCUCGUAGGCGGUGUGUCGCGUCGGCCGUGAAAACCUACAGCUUAACUGUGGGCUUGCGGUCGAUACGGGCAUCACUGGAGUUCGGCAGGGGAGACUGGAAUUCCUGGUGUAGCGGUGAAAUGCGCAGAUAUCAGGAGGAACACCGGUGGCGAAGGCGGGUCUCUGGGCCGAUACUGACGCUGAGGAGCGAAAGCGUGGGGAGCGAACAGG
rnacentral:rRNA from 1 species